CCUAUUUUGAUGUUUCUCAUGUUCUCGUGUACUUCCUAUAAGAUACUACAAAAUCACAGUUAAUGAUAAAACAAGGGCCUCUGUAUUUCCUUUUCUGUUGUCUACAGAGUAAAACUAUUGUAUGCUGUUUGCAUCUUAUUUUCCUGGCCCUCAGUUAUGAUUCUGUCAAUGACACAACUACUUUUAGUAUCACUGAUGUAUAUACUAGUUUUAGUGUUCAUCAUUCUAUAUCAAAUACAUCCUGCUAUGUCGCUAAUGCUUGUCUGGUUUUGCACUUGUCAGGAUGGAAAUGUUUUUCGGCAGCUUUCUCAGUGAAUCAGCAUCAUCACAGAACCUUUUUGGCCACCCAGAUGUUGAGAGAUGCCCAUUCCUGAGAAACAUCAAUGGAGCUACAACCUUUUCAUUUACUUCUGCGUUGCCAGUAGCUGUAAGAUCUGUUUCCUAUGACCUUUUGUGUUGGCAGCGAUCACUGUCAUUGGAUCAUCAGUUCCUUGACAAUAUGUGGUAUUGUGCAGGCCCGAGGAGGCAAGGGUCCAAUUUUUGAGGAUGGACCAGGCUUUGAGUCAGCAUUCAAGCUUUUCCAUGGCAGGGAUGGAAUAGUUCCCCUUUCAGAAAGAUCGUAUGUGCCUGAUGAGAGCCACAAUGAGAACAUUAAUGUGAAGACCGAACCUGCUCUGCCGUUUAAUCCAUUGGCUGCUAGAGCAGCCACAAUAAGUCUAUCAGCAUUUGGACCAUUUGGUUUUGGCUUUUUCAACGGCAAGGGCAAAAGGCAGAACAAGAAGCCCAACAAUCUAGAUCAGUCCCACCAGAAACCCAAGACACCAGAUCAGUCUUCCAUGAAAGUUUGUUCUGACGCUUCUUUUUUCAUUAUGCAUCUCAUUUCCAUCUGAUGAUAUGCUAUAAUUUUUUUUAUUCUUUCUGUUGUAAUAUCAACCCAGGGCUCAGUAUGUACUGUCACUUAUUUUACAUUUCAUCCAAAGUCAGAACAUUUACUAGCUAUUCAUUAGAUGGCUAUAUCCAAGGGCUAAUGUAGUUGCUCAGAAAACCAUAGCUAUCUCAUUCUUCCUGCCUUUAGUUUAUCUUAUUAUCUGUAUUCUCAUUAUCUUUCCUUUGUUCUUUUCAGCAAAAGGGAGUCAACCCACCAUCGCACGAGGCAUUCAGCGAAGAAUGGUUGGAAAAUGGCCAGUGCCCACUUGCGCGGUCUUAUCGGGCAAUGAGUGGUGUUUUGCCCCUUGUCGCCAAGGCUUUACAGCCACCAGCUGGUAUGAAGCUGAAGUGCCCACCUGCUGUGGUUGCUAUCCGAGCCGCCCUUGCACGAACUGCGCUUGUGAAAUCCCUCCGACCGCAGCCACUGCCUGCAAAGAUGGUAGCCAUUGCACUACUGGGAAUGGCAGCAAAUAUCCCUCUUGGUGUCUGGAGGGAGCACACCAAGAAGUUCUCUCCUCAGUGGUUCGCAGCUGUCCAUGCUGCUGUUCCCUUAAUUGCAAUGCUGCGGAAGUCUGUUGUGAUGCCCAGGACUGCGAUGGCAUUCACCAUAGCAGCCUCCAUUAUUGGUCAGACUAUUGGGUCAAGGGCCGAGCGCAUCCGUCUGAGGAAUCUGGCUGCAAAGGGUGCUGUUAAUGCUACAACAACUGCUGCCAUGUAUCCAAACAAGAAUGGGAAUUGCAGCGACACUGAGGGCAAGGCAUGGGAUCCCCUCGCGACAAAGAUGGCUGGCUCAGCUGCUAGGGGUGCACCUGCGCCAACCACUAGCAUGUGCUUCUGAUUGUGCUGUGCGUGUAAUUCACAGAAAUGCCUGCAGAGAUUAUGCCUCAACUACUUUAUAGUGUCAUGU
rnacentral:lncRNA from 1 species